UUACGUUCCCAAUCCGCCUAUCGUCUCGCACGCAUUCGCCCCCUCCUCUCUUCACACCCACCUCCUCUCUGCAGCAGGGGGAGAGAAAUCCCUAGGUCGUCGACGACCGCAGCCGGCAAGAGAACAAACGGCGGCGACGAAUCACGGGGGGCAGCCCGCUCAGGCGAGACCACAUCGCUCCGCGCGGAGGCGAAGCACCGCCAGUUUCGAUUGAGAGGGCGACCGCACGGCCAGUGAAAGGGAGGGAGAAGGUACAGGCGGACAAAUCGGCGACGCGAAGACGAUGAGGGCGCGGCGAGCUGCUUCGUCCCCGUGGGGAAGAGAGUACGCAACAGAAAUAGUGAAAACUAGGCAAGGACAACUUUCCCACCAUCCCUGGCAUGGCAGUUUUUAAGAUGGAGGACUCCCCAGAUCAAUACGAUGGCAAGGCAAGGGGCAAGACAAUAGGCAAGAUAGUAAACAAGACAAUUCAGGAUCAUAGCAACUUCCACUAGCAUCCAGAUUCAGCUGGAGGAGGGGGAGGCAAGAAAUAGGGGGGACAUGAAUUUGUGCGAGAAAUCCCAAGUCAAGUUUCGCAACACGCUGUACAGGACACAUUUUAGGAAACUAGUAUGUCCAUUUCACGGGGAGGCACAGAGGGUCUACCAGAUCAAGACUAACAGGAUCAUGCCUUUUGUUUUUGCCAAAAGGAUAGGAGGCCCUUUACCUUGGUGUUUUUACUGGGGAGAAAAAUUUGCCCAGUCUCUAUCAAAUUCUUGCCGAUGUUUUUCCAUUCUAUUGCCUGAUCCGCAAGGAAGAGUGUUGAGAUGUAUAUUGCAUGUAUAUUUCUUGUACCUAUAUAUAUACAUGCAUAUGCACCCGAUGAAUAUAUUGUGAGUUGCACCAA